rnacentral:rRNA from 1 species
UACGGAGGGUGGGAGCGUUAUCCGGAAUUACUGGGUUUAAAGGGUGCGUAGGCGGCCCUGUAAGUCAGGAGUGAAAGUUUGCGGCUCAACCGUAAAAUUGCUUUUGAUACUGCGGGGCUAGAAUUAGGAUGAGGUCAGCGGAAUGUGGCAUGUAGCGGUGAAAUGCAUAGAUAUGCCAUAGAACACCAAUUGCGAAGGCAGCUGGCUAGACCUGGAUUGACGCUGAGGCACGAAAGCGUGGGGAGCGAACAGG